ACAGCCAGCUUCCCACGCCUUCUGCCACGCCUUUCUGACCCAAAGCUUACAUCUUCUCAACCAUGAUAGAGCAAUCCCUUAGAACCGUAAGGCAGAAGGAAAGCCUGCAUUGCUUCUUGUUGGGCAUAAUGUCACAGCUAUGAGAAGUAAUAAACACAGCCCAUACCGUCACGAUAAGGUCACUGGUGUAGAAGGGAGUGUCAACAGACAUCGAGGGAAGAUGCAAGCAAGCAAACACCUUCAGCGACUAUGCAACUAAGAAGAGAUAAGAACAACAGAACCUCUCAUGCAUAACUAAUCAGAAGCAUCGCCCAGGGUCGCCUGCUUUGAUCUCCAAGAGCCGAGCUGAGGAGGCUGUUGCGGCUUGGGCGUGAACUUUGAAGGUCUGUGUGCUGCUCAGGAUGCCAAUGAGGAAAGCGGGCCCCACAACCCGCCAGCUCUGGCUUCAAGCAGCUUUUGCCCUGGAACACCAAGAACAGCGGAUACAGCAUGAGUCUUUGUUAUAUCAAAUCCGCACUAAGUGGAUUUCAGCCGCCUACACGACAUCAUUUUUUUUCCCUAUCCUGUAGAGUAUUUGAUCUGACUUGUGUCCUGUGUGCAUAUCUUUUCUGGUUCUUUAUGAACUUUUUUUUUUUAAAUAAAAAAAAUUACUUUGAACUUCA